CCUCCUCUUAAAGGGGCAGCACGGCCCCGCCGCCUCUCCGCUCAGUGUCUGAAUGGGACUGUAGCGCGAGCGCGGGCGACUGCCUUCCUUCCGCCCUUCCCUCAGGGAGAGGGAAGCUGGGUCCCGCUCCCUCGGCCUGGUGUUACCGACUUUCCGCCCCGCCCCCGCCCCCAUCAGGUGCGGCCUAGCGCUGCCCCUGGAGAGCCUCAGAAAGCGGCAGCGGGCGGCCGCUUCCCGCCGCGACCCUGAGGGCGGCCUGCGGGGACGACGCGGCGGGCGCGGCUCUCGGGCAUGCUUGGCGGCGGCGGCGGCGGCGGUGUGCCCGCCGGGCCGGCGCCGCGCUCGGGCCCCGACCUCCUCCCACCGCGGCCUUCAGGCUCCUGGCGCACCGGGGGCCGAUCGCGGAGGUAGGCGGUGGCGCCCCCGCGGCCUCCUGCGUCUCUUUCUGCCUUAGGCCGCCCGCCUUUGGGAUCUUCCCUCUCGGCUUCGUCCCGCGCCCGGCCUUGCGGGGGGUCUCCCGCCGCCCCAGGACCUGCAGACUGCCCUCAUUUUUUCCAUUCUGCUGGAGAAAACACAAGAUUGUGUUCUUCAUUACCUACCUGCAGCUGAGGUCAUGUCGGAUUUUAGAGCAUGUACUGUGUUUGUGAUGGCCAUCUCUUAACUAUCAGAAUGGAACAAAACAUUGGAGGUUAUUUUAAUGAGAACAGUCUUCUCCAGGAAGUCUGUGAUGACCAAAAAGCUAGGAAAUGGUAACCCACUCCAGUAUUCUUGCCUGGAGAAUCCCAUGGACGGAGGAUACUGGCGGGCUACAGUCCAUGGGGUCGCAAAGAGUUGGACGUGACUGAGCAACUAACACUUACUUCCUUACCUUCCCCACAAUGUCUUGCUUGGUGAUAAGGCACAACUCUUCAUCGUAACCCAAUGAUGUUGGCAAAGUGAGAUUGUUAACGCUGUUCAGCAGCCACUCCCCAGUGGAUUUAAUCCGCAGACAUCUGGUGGCAAAGGUGUCCACAGCAUGGACAGCAAAGAGCCGCUUCAGCUGGGAGCAGUAGCAGCUUGACAUCCAGGAGGAAGGAAAACAAGAGUGAGAAGCUGACUUUCAACAAUUUCGAGGUCAAGCAGGCAACAGCUGCUCCAGCAAAGCGCAGCCAUUGCUCCUUACCUUGGACGAGGGGUAUCUCCUCACCGCCGCCCUUCCCGACCUUCAAACCAUACUCACUGAGACCAUACUCACAGAAAACUAGUCAAUCUAAUCACACUAGGACCACAGCCUUGUCUAACUCAAUGAAAC
ensembl:lncRNA